rnacentral:rRNA from 1 species
UACCAGCACCCCGAGUGGUCGGGACGUUUAUUGGGCCUAAAGCAUCCGUAGCCGGUUCUACAAGUCUUCCGUUAAAUCCACCUGCUUAACAGAUGGGCUGCGGAAGAUACUAUAGAGCUAGGAGGCGGGAGAGGCAAGCGGUACUCGAUGGGUAGGGGUAAAAUCCGUUGAUCCAUUGAAGACCACCAGUGGCGAAGGCGGCUUGCCAGAACGCGCUCGACGGUGAGGGAUGAAAGCUGGGGGAGCUAACCGG